UUGGAGGGCAAGUCUGGUGCCAGCAGCCGCGGUAAUUCCAGCUCCAAUAGCGUAUAUUAAAGUUGUUGCAGUUAAAAAAGCUCGUAGUUGAAUUUCGAGAUCAAUUUGUUGGUCGUGCCUCGGUACGUACUGGCAAUUUUGAUUUCUCCCUUCUGAAGAACCAUGAUGUCAUUAAUUUGGUGUCAUGGGGAAUCAGGACCGUUACUUUGAAAAAAUUAGAGUGUUUAAAGCAGGCUCGCGCUUGAAUACAUUAGCAUGGAAUAAUGAAAUAGGACGUUUGAUUCUAUUUUGUUGGUUUCUAGGAUCGACGUAAUGAUUAAUAGGGAUAGUUGGGGCAUUAGUAUUCAAUUGUCAGAGGUGAAAUUCUUGGAUUUAUUGAAGACUAACUACUGACGAAAGCAUUUGCCAAGGAUGUUUUCAUUAAUCAAGAACGAAAGUUAGGGGAUCGAAGACGAUCAGAUACCGUCGUAGUCUUAACCAUAAAC
rnacentral:rRNA from 1 species